rnacentral:rRNA from 1 species
CCUACGGGAGGCUGCAGUGAGGAAUAUUGGUCAAUGGACGAGAGUCUGAACCAGCCAAGUAGCGUGAAGGAUGACUGCCCUAUGGGUUGUAAACUUCUUUUAUAAAGGAAUAAAACGAGGCACGUGUGCCUUUUUGCAUGUACUUUAUGAAUAAGGAUCGGCUAACUCCGUGCCAGCAGCCGCGGUAAUACGGAGGAUCCGAGCGUUAUCCGGAUUUAUUGGGUUUAAAGGGAGCGUAGAUGGGUUGUUAAGUCAGUUGUGAAAGUUUGCGGCUCAACCGUAAAAUUGCAAUUGAUACUGGCAGUCGUGAGUACAGUUGAGGGAGGCGGAAUUCGUGGUGUAGCGGUGAAAUGCUUAGAUAUCACGAAGAACCCCGAUUGCGAAGGCAGCUUACUAAACUGUGACUGACAUUGAUGCUCGAAAGUGUGGGUAUCAAACAGGAUUAGAUACCCGUGUAGUC